UAGUGUAGUUAACACCUGCACUAUUUGACGUUACCUACAGAAGAAGCACCGGCUAACUCCGUGCCAGCAGCCGCGGUAAUACGGAGGGUGCGAGCGUUAAUCGGAAUUACUGGGCGUAAAGCGCAUGCAGGCGGCCUGUUAAGUCAGAUGUGAAAGACCCGGGGCGUUAACCUCGGAAUUGCAUUUGAAACUGGCAGGCUAGAGUCUUGUAGAGGGGGGUAGGAAUUUCAGGUGUAGCGGUGAAAUGCGUAGAGAUCUGAAGGAAUACCAGUGGCGAAGGCGGCCCCCUGGACAAAGACUGACGCUCAGAUGCGAAAGCGUGGGGAGCAAACAGGAUUAGAUACCCUGGUAG
rnacentral:rRNA from 1 species